rnacentral:rRNA from 1 species
UACGAAGGGGGCUAGCGUUGCUCGGAAUUACUGGGCGUAAAGGGCGCGUAGGCGGAUGUUUAAGUCGGGGGUGAAAGCCCGGGGCUCAACCUCGGAAUUGCCUUCGAUACUGGACAUCUUGAGUACGGGAGAGGUGAGUGGAACUCCGGGAGUAGCGGUGAAAUGCGUAGAGACCCGGAGGAACACCAGUGGCGAAGGCGGCUUCCUGGUCUGCGACUGACGCUGUGGCGCGAAAGCGUGGGGAGCAAACAGG